GGCUGCGCAAGAUCAGGACGAGCAAAACCUUUCAUCUUCUCCCACCCCCACUGCUUCCUCGCCCCACUGUUACCCAGCCGUGUGUGUAUGUGUAAGGAUAGACAACGUGUCCUUACACAUACACAGAAACACAUGCACAAAAUGCAUCCCUACUCACACUGAAACAUAUAAUGCAUCCUACACUCACACAGAAACAGACAAUUCUUACCUUACACACACAGAAAACCAAAAUGCAUCCAUUACACACACAAUGCAUACCUCACAAACACAAUGCAGCCCUUGCACACAUACACAGAAGCACACAAUGCAUCCUUUACACACACACUGCUUCUCUUAAUGCAACUCUAACACACACUCAAUGUACCUGCAUUACAUACACAGAAACACACCUUGCAUCCCUUACACAUACAAACACAGAUUCACA